GUGUCAGCCGCCGUGGUAAUACGUAGGGCGCGAGCGUUGUCCGGAAUUAUUGGGCGUAAAGAGCUCGUAGGCGGCUUGUAGCGUCGGUUGUGAAAGCCCGGGGCUUAACCCCGGGUCUGCAGUCGAUACGGGCAGGCUAGAGUUCGGUAGGGGAGAUCGGAAUUCCUGGUGUAGCGGUGAAAUGCGCAGAUAUCAGGAGGAACACCGGUGGCGAAGGCGGAUCUCUGGGCCGAUACUGACGCUGAGGAGCGAAAGCGUGGGGAGCGAACAGGAUUAGAUACCCGUGUAGUCC
rnacentral:rRNA from 1 species